CUUCAGCGAGCCCAGGUACAGCGGCCGGCCCUCCGGCCGGUCCUGCCCGUAGGUGGCCAGGAGGGCCUGCGCCUC
rnacentral:antisense_RNA from 1 species